rnacentral:lncRNA from 1 species
UCUAAUUGGUCACUUUGGUCUAUUUUGACUAAAAAGGGGGAGAAGUUAUUAUGUGUGAGCUGCAAUUAAUGUGUGGAGAUGUGGAGAGUUCCAGUCAAUAUGUGCUGAAGUAGCUAGCUAGGCUAAACAAGUAACAGCUGAUGUUGAACAGAAUAAUGUUUUGUGUUGUACAGGUGAUGUUGAAGGAGAUGUCAGAAGGAGGUUCUGAAUGUUAACAUGUUGAAGGAGAUGUCAGAAGGAAAUUCUGAAUGUUACAGGUGCAGUUGUUGCUGAAGGAGAUGUCUGUGUUGAACAGACUUAGGGAGAAAAGAAGCACCCAUGUGUUUAAUGUA